rnacentral:rRNA from 1 species
AUUGAACGCUGGCGGCAUGCUUUACACAUGCAAGUCGAACGGCAGCGCGGGCUUCGGCCUGGCGGCGAGUGGCGAACGGGUGAGUAAUACAUCGGAACGUGCCCAGUAGUGGGGGAUAGCUCGGCGAAAGCCGGAUUAAUACCGCAUACGACCUGAGGGUGAAAGCGGGGGAUCUUCGGACCUCGCGCUAUUGGAGCGGCCGAUGGCAGAUUAGCUAGUUGGUGGGGUAAAGGCCUACCAAGGCGACGAUCUGUAGCUGGUCUGAGAGGACGACCAGCCACACUGGGACUGAGACACGGCCCAGACUCCUACGGGAGGCAGCAGUGGGGAAUUUUGGACAAAGGGCGAAAGCCUGAUCCAGCAAUGCCGCGUGUGUGAUGAAGGCCUUCGGGUUGUAAAGCACUUUUGGCGGGAACGAAAAGGACUGUGCCAAUACCACGGUUUGAUGACGGUACCAGCAGAAUAAGCACCGGCUAACUACGUG